GCCUGGCUAGCUCAGUCGGUAGAGCAUGAGACUCUUAAUCUCAGGGUCGACGUCGGGUG
rnacentral:tRNA from 1 species